UACGAAGGGGGCUAGCGUUGCUCGGAAUCACUGGGCGUAAAGCGCACGUAGGCGGUCUUUUAAGUCAGGGGUGAAAUCCUGGAGCUCAACUCCAGAACUGCCUUUGAUACUGAGAGACUUGAGUCCGGGGGAGGUGAGUGGAACUGCGAGUGUAGAGGUGAAAUUCGUAGAUAUUCGCAAGAACACCAGUGGCGAAGGCGGCUCACUGGCCCGGUACUGACGCUGAGGUGCGAAAGCGUGGGGAGCAAACAGGG
rnacentral:rRNA from 1 species